rnacentral:rRNA from 1 species
UGGGGGAUAUUGCACAAUGGGGGAAACCCUGAUGCAGCAACGCCGCGUGAAGGAAGAAGAUCUUCGGAUUGUAAAGCUCUGUCAACAGGGACGAUAAUGACGGUACCUGUGGAGGAAGCCACGGCAAACUACGUGCCAGCAGCCGCGGUAAUACGUAGGUGGCAAGCGUUGUCCGGAAUAACUGGGCGUAAAGCGCAUGUAGACGGCAUAGCAAGCCAAGUGUGAAAUUUAGGGGCUUAACCUCUAAACUGCGCUUGGAACUGCUGAGCUUGAGUGCAGGAGAGGCAAGUGGAAUUCCCAGUGUAGCAGUGAAAUGCGUAGAUAUUGGGAGGAACACCAGUGGCGAAGGCGACUUGCUGGACUGCAACUGACGUUGAGAUGCGAAAGCUAGGGGAGCAAACG